GCCCCUUCAGGGACAUCCGAUAAAAUUGGAAUGAUACAGAGAAGAUUACCAUGGUGGAAGAAGAGAGUCUCUUUAAUUUCCGAAAGACCCUCGGUCUUU